UAAAAAUAGAAUGGUUCAUUUUUCAAUUUAAAAAAAUUACUUUCAUAUAAAAAAAUAGUUAAAUAUAGUAAUAUAAAGCUACUUUUAUAACUAAAGAAUCAUCGUUAUUCAGUAUUAUAUUGGAAUUAAACAAAAUAAGCACGAUCUUGAAAAAAUGUCUUGACUUUAACAAAAAAAAUCCCGGAAAAUUUCAGUUUGUCCAGGUAGAACAGAUAUCCGGUCUUUAAAUUUCUUUUGUUUUAAUAGAAAAUGAUUUAUAUAUUUUUUUAAAAUUUAAAUCUAAGCUUCUUGGCUUUAAAUUUCAGGACCUUUUAAUUAACAAUUUUUAAUUGCGAUCCUAUCCUAUGCAUUUGAAAAUAUGUAAUUAUUGCAGAAAUGAGGAAAAAAAUCAUCUUCUCCGAAGAUGAUAUAUUUUUAUCUAGUCUGUUAAAUAGAAUAAUUUUAAGAAACUAAGAAUCGCAAGAAAUGUGAAUUCACGUGCCAAAGUAUUAAAUAGCAGAACCUGAUUGUAUUGCUCAAAGAAUUCAAUCAAGGGUCUUAGGGAUAAAAUAUAGAAUUUCCUUAAACAGGAAAUUCCUAGAUAGAUCAAAUAUUGUACAUAAAAUUAACAACAAAAAACUUGAAAUAAGUUCAAAUAAUCUGAAAGUUGUAAGGCUCUCUUGCCUCGAAAAUCAAAUUUUCGAAUAGAAAUUCGUGACUGUCAGUCCAGUCGUAGAAACAAAAUAAUUAUAUAGUUGACUAAAAAAACAAAAAACAAAGCGACUGCAUAAAAUUGGACUGAAACCUCCCUGGUACAAACUUCAAAGAAAAUGUACGUAAUUGUAGACCAUGUAUUAAAAUGGAAUUUUAAUCAAUAAGUUAUAGAUUAAACUAAAAUUACUUGAUGCCAAAAUCCUAUUAAAAGGGAAAGUAUAAGACUAGACUUGAUAUUAGUGAUUGAAAAUAAAAAGCAUUCGAUUACAAGUUUUGACGUUCUAAAGUGUAGAAAUUCAUUCUGAAUUUUUAAUAAAGAUUUAUUUUUUGAAACUGAAGAGAUAAAAAUGAUCUAAACUUCAAGAUUGGGGCCCUUCAAUUUAUAUUACAGUGGAGUGAUACAGGGUGGCCGUUUUAGUCGAGGAAUAAAAUUCCCGAUCGUUACCAGGUUCGCAAGCAUUUUUCCUGAUCAUCGAAAUUUGAACUCAUGAAGCUGAAAAUUGUUUUAAUCGAAGUAGUCGAAACUGAAGUGAAAAUUAAGGCACUCAAUGUGGGACUCUUUGGAAUUUCAAACUUUUAAAAGAGACAAUUUAAAAGUUUCGGAUUCAGAAACUUUUUAGUUCAAACGCUCAAUAAUUAAAAAAUAUAAAAUGAAAGCUUUAAC